rnacentral:rRNA from 1 species
AUGAACGCUGGCGGCGUGCUUAACACAUGCAAGUCGAACGAAGCACUUAUCUUUGAUUCUUCGGAUGAAGAGGUUUGUGACUGAGUGGCGGACGGGUGAGUAACGCGUGGGUAACCUGCCUCAUACAGGGGGAUAACAGUUAGAAAUGACUGCUAAUACCGCAUAAGACCACAGAGCCGCAUGGCUCAGUGGGAAAAACUCCGGUGGUAUGAGAUGGACCCGCGUCUGAUUAGGUAGUUGGUGGGGUAACGGCCUACCAAGCCAACGAUCAGUAGCCGACCUGAGAGGGUGACCGGCCACAUUGGGACUGAGACACGGCCCAAACUCCUACGGGAGGCAGCAGUGGGGAAUAUUGCACAAUGGGGGAAACCCUGAUGCAGCGACGCCGCGUGAGCGAAGAAGUAUUUCGGUAUGUAAAGCUCUAUCAGCAGGGAAGAAAAUGACGGUACCUGACUAAGAAGCACCGGCUAAAUACGUGCCAGCAGCCGCGGUAAUACGUAUGGUGCAAGCGUUAUCCGGAUUUACUGGGUGUAAAGGGAGCGUAGACGGCUGUGUAAGUCUGAAGUGAAAGCCCGGGGCUCAACCCCGGGACUGCUUUGGAAACUAUGCAGCUAGAGUGUCGGAGAGGUAAGUGGAAUUCCCAGUGUAGCGGUGAAAUGCGUAGAUAUUGGGAGGAACACCAGUGGCGAAGGCGGUCUACUGGGCACCAACUGACGCUGAGGCUCGAAAGCAUGGGUAGCAAACAGGAUUAGAUACCCUGGUAGUCCGCACGGUAAACGAUGAAUGCUCGCUAUGGGCGAUAUAUUGUCCGUGGCCAAGCGAAAGCGUUAAGCAUUCCACCUGGGGAGUACGCCGGCAACGGUGAAACUCAAAGGAAUUGACGGGGGCCCGCACAAGCAGUGGAGUAUGUGGUUUAAUUCGAAGCAACGCGAAGAACCUUACCUGCUCUUGACAUCCCGGUGACCGGCGUGUAAUGACGCCUUUUCUUCGGAACACCGGUGACAGGUGGUGCAUGGUUGUCGUCAGCUCGUGUCGUGAGAUGUUGGGUUAAGUCCCGCAACGAGCGCAACCCUUAUCUUCAGUAGCCAGCAAUUCGGAUGGGCACUCUGGAGAGACUGCCAGGGAUAACCUGGAGGAAGGUGGGGAUGACGUCAAAUCAUCAUGCCCCUUAUGAGCAGGGCUACACACGUGCUACAAUGGCGUAAACAAAGGGAAGCGAGCCUGCGAGGGUAAGCAAAUCUCAAAAAUAACGUCUCAGUUCGGAUUGUAGUCUGCAACUCGACUACAUGAAGCUGGAAUCGCUAGUAAUCGCGAAUCAGCAUGUCGCGGUGAAUACGUUCCCGGGUCUUGUACACACCGCCCGUCACACCAUGGGAGUUGGUAACGCCCGAAGUCAGUGACCCAACCGUAAGGAGGGAGCUGCCGAAGGUGGGACCGAUAACUGGGGUG